rnacentral:rRNA from 1 species
UACGUAGGGGGCUAGCGUUAUCCGGAAUUACUGGGCGUAAAGGGUGCGUAGGUGGUUUCUUAAGUCAGAGGUGAAAGGCUACGGCUCAACCGUAGUAAGCCUUUGAAACUGGAGAACUUGAGUGCAGGAGAGGAGAGUGGAAUUCCUAGUGUAGCGGUGAAAUGCGUAGAUAUUAGGAAGAACACCAGUUGCGAAGGCGGCUCUCUGGACUGUAACUGACACUGAGGCACGAAAGCGUGGGGAGCAAACAGG